rnacentral:rRNA from 1 species
UACGUAGGGGGCAAGCGUUGUCCGGAUUUAUUGGGCGUAAAGAGCUCGUAGGCGGCUUGUUGCGUCGUCCGUGAAACCUGGGGCUCAACUCCAGGCUUGUGGUCGAUACGGGCAGGCUAGAGUUCGGUAGGGGAGACUGGAAUUCCGGGUGUAGCGGUGGAAUGCGUAGAGAGUCCGGAAGAACACCGGUGGCGAAGGCGGCCCGCUGGGCAGGAAGGCUCGCAAGAGCCGGCUGACACUGAGGCGCGACAGCGUGGGGAGCAAACAGGG